rnacentral:siRNA from 1 species
AUGAUGUUCUUCGAGUUGAUG